rnacentral:rRNA from 1 species
UACGUAGGGUGCAAGCGUUGUCCGGAAUUAUUGGGCGUAAAGAGCUCGUAGGUGGUUUGUCGCGUUGUUCGUGAAAACUCACAGCUUAACUGUGGGCGUGCGGGCGAUACGGGCAGACUGGAGUACUGCAGGGGAGACUGGAAUUCCUGGUGUAGCGGUGGAAUGCGCAGAUAUCAGGAGGAACACCGGUGGCGAAGGCGGGUCUCUGGGCAGUAACUGACGCUGGAGGAGCGAAAGCGUGGGGAGCGAACAGG